UGCAGAAUGUCUUGUAAUCUAAUAAUAAUAAUAAUAAUAAUAAUAAUAAUAAUAAUAAUAAUAAUAAUAAUACCACAAACCUGCAAAAGUAUUGGAGAAUGAGCAUGCAAAAUUGCUGUGGGACUUUCGAAUCCAGACUGACAAAGUUCUGGAACACAACACACCAGACAUCACAGUUGUGGAAAAGAAAAAGGUUUGGCUCAUUGAUGUCGCCAUCCCAGGUGACAGUCGCAUUGACGAAAAACAACAGGAAAAACUCAGCCGCUAUCAGGACCUCAAGAUUGAACUUCAAAGACUCUGGCAGAAACCAGUGCAGGUGGUACUUGAGGCAUAAGUUCCAAUGAAUCAUUUGGGCCACAUAGUUGUGCCUCUGUUUUUAGUCUGUCUGUGCGAUUUUCUUACAGCAGCUGAGGAUAUGAUCAAUGGUUUCGUCGUAUUUUGGGUCGUUUUGGAGUUUGCAUUUUGGGUCAUCAGCUGAUUUUUUUAUCUUGGCCUUAAUUGCCUUUGUUCUGAUGGCUUACUCCUGGGCUGCAAGGAUUAGGCCUUCUGUCUCCUUCUUAAAUUAUUAUAUUUAUUUAUUUAUUUAUUUAUUUAUUUUCAGAGCAUAAUGAUCUGGGAGAGCCCCAGGUGAAGUGACCACUGUAGACAUGUCCUCAGUCAAAACUCCUUGCAACAACAUGCAAACUACUGCCAGGAAUGUAUAUUUAUGGAUGGGGGCAAGGAGAUUACUGUAUAUAUAUUCUUGUAUUUGUCAAUCUCACAUAUUAGUCAGGGUAGGUUCGGGGACCAAAAUUAUGGAUUUUGAUAAGACCUGUAGAUAAGUCAAGGGUCAUCCCAUGGAGAGAGGUAAGCACCAACGCCACCUCAGGGGGUCAGCCACUCCUGGUUGCCACCAUCAUUUCCCUACCCUGGCAUUCAAAAAAGGCAGUAGUGGCAUCAUGCUGGAAAGAAUAGAGGCAGCCAGCGCUUCUUUUAGGCUCUCAUGGGAUGAAAAAGCUCUCACCUUUUGCCACUUUACACAGAGAAAGAGAUUAUUCCUUUUUUGAGUUAUGAUACAGUACUUACAUUGACACAUGGAUAUGUCAAUUCAAGUUUCCUGGGGUGAUUUUUGGAUUAAACUUUCUAGGCUUCUAUGUGAGUCAUUAGGUUAGUUUUGUGUACAUUUUGAAACAGAAAAUAGCAAUUCUCUCAGACUGACCACUUCUUGCAUUAUUUCCCUAAAGACAUAAAAAAUAAGGUGAGUGAGAGCACCACUGAAAUUUCCCAGUAGUUAAAAAAAUGUAAGCCUUAUAGAACGGCCUUGCACAGGGAUCGAGAAUAAGAUAUUCAGCAACGCAGACAGAAUCACUGAAGAAGCUUCAGCGCAUGUGGCCGAUGGUGUAAGAAGAUUUGCAAACAUAUUAUUUGAGGUGUCUUGUAUCAUCUCUAUAUUGUAUAUUGACAUUUUCUUGACUCCUUCUGCUUUACAAAUGUCAUGUCACACAGGAUAAAAUGAAAAGUGGCACCAAGGAAGCCCUGUAAUCUGACUGGGUCAUGGAUUGUAGCUCUCAUGAAAACCACAUGAGAACCCUCAAGGUGAACUUGGACAAGCAAUCAGUCUGAUGGCACUUCAAGGUUGUUGUGUGUGCCGUCUUUUAUAUAUAUAUUAUAAGUUUUAAGCCAUAGAGCAUUUGCCUACAAUGACCAUUAUGAGCAAGAACAGAAUGUGUUUGUUUUUAAUAUCUUGUACCAAUCUAUCGGACCAGUGCUGCUUUCGACAGCAUUUUAUUUUAUCUUCCAUCCUCCUCAACAUCCCCACCCCCAAGAUUAAUUUGUAAGAGCAAAGAAGCUUGACACCAUACACAAUAUGGAAUAAAAACUUUGCAGAUGAAUAAAAAGCAACCCCAUGACUAAUACUUUGCCCAUGUUGAAGGCACUGUGGCUUAGUGCAACUGCCAUUUCAUAGGCAAAAAAAAUGCAGAGAUUGCCUCUUUUGUCAGUUUGGGAGAUAAAAUCCUAUUCUUUGUAAUCCCUGAAGAAACAAAUCAAAUAAGCUCUGGCUGAGCUAACCAUUUUCAAUCCAUCAAAGCAAUCAAAUUCUGUUUACCUGAAUCAGAAUGAUUUCUAAAAUGUUAUUAAAAAGUAAAAUGGAGUUUAACUAUUCCAAAAAACGGAAAAUGAUGUGCAAACACAAAAGGGAUAAGAUUUCAGUAAUUAUGUAGACACAAAGUCGGUACCAUCAUUUGUACCAGAAUACAAUGUAGCUAUGGCAUAUAAAGAUAAAGCUGCCUUUGUCUAACAUUACUGCUGCAAGCGAUGCAUAAACAUAAUUAAUGUAAGAAGUCUUCAAAGGGGUGAAUAUUCAUUUAGUUAGUUUUAUUGCUCUUUCAAGCAAACAAAGAUUUUAUAAUUUAAUAAACCAAUUAACUGAUUAUAUAAUUCAUCCAAAAUAUUUGUAUAUCAUAUAUUACUAUCAUUUGUCGAAUCACCCCCUG
ensembl:lncRNA